rnacentral:lncRNA from 1 species
AAGGAGAGACUCCCACUAAUCCAAGACAUCCUUAGUGACAAAAAUAAUAUGAAAGACCUUAGGUGUCACGUCUUUGAUUAGUGAGUCAGCUAGCAUAAAAUUUAUCUCUAUAUGUUCUAUCAUUCAACAACAACUAAUAAGUCAACAAACUUUAUAAAAUAGAUGUUGAAACAUUAUCCGACCGAUGUAUGUCACAAUACAACUUGAGUUAUCUUUCAAAAUCUUUUACUUUAUGCAACCAAGUGACAUAAAUACUUACAGUCAUUUCUUGAGUUAGAUUGUCCAUUAUAUAUAGACAUUUAAAAGGAUCGGAGUUGAACAUCCAUAUGAUCUCCAAAUUGUUAAAUCUCCGAUAUGUGAGCACAAAUUAUUGUCCUCUAUAACAAUCUUUAUGGUUGCCUCAUUUUAACAAUUCAAAUUUUUGAAUUGCUCAAGUAUCUGCCAAAUGAUCUUGUUAUAUACACUAUUUCCGGAUGCGUAUAAGUAAGAUUAUACAUAAGUUUCUCAAUGCUAAAGCAUAUAGGAAAAUACUUUAUUUUCUAAAUUUCCAGAUUUUCUUUUGGACAAUGAUUGAGACUAAACAAUCUCCCUUUGUGAUUAAGGCAAUCCCUUAGUUUAUUGACUUUCAUGUCGAAUUAACUUUCAACUUUAUUGAUACAAUUCUUUUGUGAUAACCGAAUAAUACAUUGAGAAAUCUAAGUAUCAAAGUGCCUAAUACAAAAGAGAUGUGCCCAAGAUCUUUUGUCACUAAACUUUUGUUAGUGAUUUCUUGGUUUCACACAACAAUCAUAU